rnacentral:rRNA from 1 species
GACGAACGCUGGCGGCGUGCUUAACACAUGCAAGUCGAACGGAAAGGCCCUGCUUGCGUGGGGUUCUCGAGGGGCGAACGGGUGAGUAACACGGGUGUAACCUGCUCUACUCUUUGGGAUGACUUCAGGAAACUGGGGCUAAUCCCGUAUAGGAGCUCCUGCUGGAGUGUGGGGGUGGGAUAUUUUCGGCGGGUGGGGAUGGACGCGCGGCUUAUCUGUUUGUUGGUGGGGGAGGGGCUUACCAAGCCUUUGACGGGUAGCCGGCAUGGGAGGGGGACCGGCCACAUUGGGCCUGCGGUAGGGCCCAGACUCCUACGGGAGGCAGCGGUGGGGAAUAUUGCACAAUGGGCGGAAGCCUGAUGCAGCAACGCCGCGUGCGGGAUGACGGCCUUCGGGUUGUAAACCGCUUUCGGCUGUGACGAAGCGUUAGUGACGGUAAUGAGUAAAGAAGCACCGGCUAACUACGUG